ACUUUUGACGGUGGAUCUCUUGGCUCACGCAUCGAUGAAGAACGCAGCCGGCUGCGAUAAGUAGUGUGAAUUGCAGAAUUCAGUGAAUCAUCGAAUCUUUGAACGCAAAUGGCGCUCUUGGGUUCUCCCAGGAGCAUGUCUGUCUGAGUGUCGGAUAU
rnacentral:rRNA from 1 species